CCCCCCAGGACACGCCCUGGAGCAGCUGCACCCCGAGGACAUCGUGGGGGUCACGGCCAAAACGCUGCGGGUGAACCCCGAGACACUGCUGAGGGAACUGCGGCCCCCAAAGGGACCCCGACCCCGGUCCCCUCCCCCGGCCGGCCCGGCGGCUCUGGGGGUGGCCCUGCAGGAGCUGGCCCGUUUGGCAGCCGGGGUGGCCCACGAGGGGGGUCUGACCCUGCUCGAGGCUUUUGGGGUGGCCCCGAUCCGGGACCCCGCGGCGCUGGCGGCGGCGGCCGAGCUGAAAUCGCUGGGGUCGAUCCUAAAAGGGGCCCGGUGCGCCCGCAGCCCCCGCUUCCCGCAGCAGUACGCCCAGUACGCCGCCCGGCAGCAGCUGCUGGAGCAACUGGAGGAGCUGCAGUUCCAACUGUCGGACCAAUCUCUGCUGCUGCUGCCCGAGUACCACCAGCGGCUCGAGGUGAGACCCCAAAAACAUCCUGGGGACCCCAAAAACAUCC